GAACCGGAUUUUGACCAAAUUCUGAGUUUGAGGUUAAAAUCCGUCUCUUUUUGCCCCCGAGAAAUACUAUAUUGAAAAACAUAUUGCGUCAAAUCUGUAAUACAAUAAUCCAUAUUAUGGUGUUUGAGUUGCAAGAUUAUUUUACUCAGCAAGUGCCGUGGUACACAUGAAAAAGCAAUCGAUGCACAACGUGUCAAGAUGAAGAGACAGCCAGUGAUUCUGCCUUUGUGAUGACUGGGGAAGCUUGUUCCACUGUCAGUGGCUGAGGAGAGAGAAAACAGAUGGGGUCACGAAGAGUGGCAGGCAGAUCCUAAAAGACAUGAGACAGCCAGCUGGUGAGAGGAUGCUGAACGGAGAGAUUCGGUGUGUGUAUGGUCUGAAGAUAGGAAGGACCAAUACCAUUCACAGCUGGAUAUGCCAGAGUGAGUGAUUUGAAUUGCAUGUGGGGAACCACUGGACUGUUUUAUUUCAAAAUACAAAAUUAAGAGCAAGAAUUGUAUUUUUCUGGUUUGUGACCCUCCUACUGCAUCCUUUGGUGGUAGCAUCAUUCUGUGGGUGAUUUCACACUACUGUGUAGGCUGGACCUUUCAGAAGGAGGAUAGAUCAUGCCCCAAAUUUCAUAUUACAUUUUGUGUCUGGAACCAAGAACCUGACUCAGCCUUUUUUCCAACACCCUUCCCAUCUAUAAGGUUCCAAAGAUCUAUUUUUUCAAAAUCUAGAAAAAAGUUGUUUUGAGCAGACCACUUACCUUACCCCACUCACCUAAGAACUUCUGUCCCCACAACCCAGACUCUUUACAAUCUUUCUGUGGAAACUUUUAGAACAAAUCAUGUCUGAAGGGAUGAAUGCAAGCAUAAAAUUGCCCUUUUCUAUAUUUUAUUGGCAUUGGAGCAUCGGUAUCAAAUUAAACUACAAUUAUUUUGCAACUCAUAUAUUCUAUCUGUGUGGUCCUCCCUCACUACUAAUCAAUGUUCUCUGGCCAAAGAUGUUCAGCUAAAGCAUCCAUCAAUGAUCGUAUUUUGUCAGAUUGUCAAUAAUAAUGUAUUUAAAUAUUGUUUUUUUUAAUACAAGAUGUCAGGGAGAUCUGAAUUAUUUCUGUUUUUUAAUGAAAGCAGCGAAGGGUUGAAUGCAUUUACUUCAGUUGAAGAUAGGCACAAUAUUGUAGUGUAAAGACUAAGAAUGUAGAUGUUCUCAUGUACAGUAUGGUAUACUUUUUUUUACUGCCUCCCUGGAUUCUGUGGUGUCUAACUCAUUUGCGAUAAACCAGACCAAACCAAACCAAACAUAAUUUAUUCUGGAAUAACUUGAUUGAACCCUGUCCAAAAAAACAUGCACAAAUCUUAUAUGAAAAUGAAGUUCUACUUGCUAAUCAAAGAAUGCCUGGAGAUAAAGGGAGACAUGUUUUAAUCAUUAGCAUUUUUAUUUUGAGUUUCCAGAAUAGUCAUAAUAAUAUGGAUAACAUUCAAUAAGCUUAAAACCAAAUUUCUAUCCUGAUACAAAACAAUUACAUGUCAUAUAGCUUGCAUAUCUGAUUAAGUGGUACCAUAGGACAUAAUGCCAAAGGAAUUCCAUGAGUAAUAGUAGUACUACUGUAGAUGCAGUUAAGAUUUUUCCAAGAUUUAAAGUUAAUCAGAUAAGAAUGCACUAAACAUUCAUUCUUGAACGGCAUGCUCCCAUGGGCAGCAUUAGUAUUUUUGAGUUAUGUGCAAACCAAUUCUGUGCCAUUCUAAGUGGAAUGACACUGAAAACAGAUAUAUUCGUUUCUUAAUAGUUAACAUCUGUGUUAAAAUAUGGAAUAUGUUACGCCAUUACAUUAUUGUAUCACACAAAGGAAAUAAAAUUUAUAUGACUGUGACAGAACAUAUUCCACACACAUAUUCACCCAGGCAAAUUCAACUUCUGUUGUUUGUUCUGGAAUGACAUUUUUCAAGAAAAAUUUGCUCUGAUGCUAUGACAACCCAUACCAGUACUGAGAAACGUGUUCUCAGUUAUUGUAAUACAAUAACUGAGAACAGGGCAGCUGAUACAGCACAAUGGGACACUUGGCAGAACUGGACCACAACCUUAGGAGUACAAUGUCCUACACAAUUUAAAAAUGUAAUCUCACAAUGCGUCCCCCACCCCAUUUAAACACAUACAAAACAACGCCAACAGAGACAAGAUAUUGGAAGGUACAGAGCAUACCUCUACUUUCUGUUCUUCAUUAAUUGAAAUGCCCAAAAGGGGCUGGUCCUUUUAAACCCUUUCCUUUUUAGGCCAACCGGGAGGCCACAUAUGAAAUG